GUCUGGGAACACAUUUGGGCAGCACUAUUAUAAAUUAUUGAAUUCGCAUUGUAUUGUUGUCUUCAUCAAAGUAAAUUAAUAAUUUACUUUGGUCUUCAUUUUGAGUUGUUAAUAUUUGCCGUAUAUGCUUAUAAAAAGUAAUUAGAAAAAGUAGUAACAAAAUGAGCUCUAAAAAUAGUCAAAUAUCUUACACAGAAGAUGAGUUUGGAAAAAAAUUGGAUAGGUGUAUAUCUGACUCAAUUAUAAAAAGUUCUGGUGGACUCGUACUUGGAUCGGUUAUUUCACUUUUAUUUUUUAAGCGAAAGGCCUGGCCUAUGAUAUUGGGAACAGGUUUUGGUACUGGAGUCGCCUACAGGACUUGCGAAAAGGAUUUAAAUAUGUAGAAAAAAAUAUUUGUUUUAAUAUUUAAAAUAUAUUAAAAUAUAAGAACUUUGAUUUAUAUAGUUGAAUUUCAUUAAUUUUAUCCAAAAAUUAGUGCAUGUAAA